GCACAAGCAGCUGAAUUAAGGCCAAAAGAAUUCAUUUCUCAAACCUCCACCAGCUGCAGCCCCGGCGACGAACAGUCCACAGUUGUUUGGAUCCACAGAUGCAGACGAGAGCCUCUGUAUCUCAUUUUCCUAAUGUUUUUACAAUUGCAGUUUUAAGGUCUGAUUUCUCUGGAAUUCAUCUUCAUGCGAGGAGGAGAAAGGCACACGUUUCAGUGGAUGCUCAGGCUUCAGGAGAAAAUAAUGUUUAAUUUAAGAGAAGACUAAGAAGAUGAAGCUUGUGCCGGGCAGUGGUGGCGCAUGCCUUUAAUCCCAG